ACGUGAUCCGGUUUCGUGGGUUGUUUCUGUUUCAAAAUGGAGUUGUCUGAGUCGGUGCAGAAAGGGAUGCAGUCUCUAGCAGACCCGUCGCUUUUCGACCUGAAGACCUCCUCUGUGUUGAUAUAAUUAACCUUUCGCAGUUCGCUAACCGCCCAUGCCGACCGUAGUGUUCUCGAUCAACCUGAAUUGAUCUGCCACCACCUGCAUACUGGAGGGGGUCAAACAAAAUGUGGACAAAUCCACUAUAAGCUUGUGCCUGGAGGAUGUUAGGUUUGAUGCGGAGAGAACAUAUGUAUUCUACAUCGCAUACCAGAAUACCAACAACGGAGGAUCGUCGGAAGAGGUCCAUUUUAGCUGCACUAUGGAACAACUUCAGGAUUUGGUGGGAAAGAUAAAAGACGCUGCCAAGAGUCUUGAGGGCUAUGCAGUUGUGAGCCUAGCCUGCUCGAACAGUGGAAUCCGGUUUCUCACGUGAUCUCCUCUGCUUCCUUCAUCUCCUGAAAGCACUGAAGUUCAGCGAUUUCAAGCGGCGUUGAUAUCCGCUUUGUAUUUUAUACUCAUUUCAUUCGUCAUUAAAUAUUUAUCCGUUCAA